CCUACGGGGGGCAGCAGUGGGGAAUUUUGGACAAUGGGCGCAAGCCUGAUCCAGCCAUGCCGCGUGCAGGAUGAAGGCCUUCGGGUUGUAAACUGCUUUUGUACGGAACGAAAAGACUCUGGUUAAUACCUGGGUUCCAUGACGGUACCGUAAGAAUAAGCACCGGCUAACUACGUGCCAGCAGCCGCGGUAAUACGUAGGGUGCGCGCGUUCAUCGGAAUUACUGGGCGUAAAGCGUGCGCAGGCGGUUAUGUAAGGCAGAUGUGAAAUCCCCGGGCUCGACCUGGGAACUGCAUUUGUGACUGCAUAGCUAGAGUACGGCAGAGGGGGAUGGAAUUCCGCGUGUAGCAGUGAAAUGCGUAGAUAUGCGGAGGAACACCGAUGGCGAAGGCAAUCCCCUGGGCCUGUACUGACGCUCAUGCACGAAAGCGUGGGGAGCAAACAGGAUUAGAUACCCCUGUAGUCCAC
rnacentral:rRNA from 1 species